AUUGAACGCUGGCGGCAUGCUUUACACAUGCAAGUCGAACGGUAACAGGGAGCUUGCUCCGCUGACGAGUGGCGAACGGGUGAGUAAUGCGUCGGAACGUGCCGAGUAGUGGGGGAUAACGCAUCGAAAGGUGUGCUAAUACCGCAUACGUACUGAGGUAGAAAGUGGGGACCUUCGGGCCUCACGCUAUUCGAGCGGCCGACGUCUGAUUAGCUAGUUGGUGAGGUAAAGGCUCACCAAGGCGACGAUCAGUAGCGGGUCUGAGAGGAUGAUCCGCCACACUGGGACUGAGACACGGCCCAGACUCCUACGGGAGGCAGCAGUGGGGAAUUUUGGACAAUGGGCGCAAGCCUGAUCCAGCCAUGCCGCGUGUCUGAAGAAGGCCUUCGGGUUGUAAAGGACUUUUGUCCGGGAGCAAAUGCCUGGUGUUAAUAGCACUGGGAGCUGAGAGUACCGGAAGAAUAAGCACCGGCUAACUACGUGCCAGCAGCCGCCGUAAAAC
rnacentral:rRNA from 1 species